GAAAGCGUAAUAGCUCACUGGUCGAGUCGGCCUGCGCGGAAGAUGUAACGGGGCUAAACCAUGCACCGAAGCUGCGGCAGCGACGCUGAUGCGUUGUUGGGUAGGGGAGCGUUCUGUAAGCCUGAGAAGGUGUGCUGUGAGGCAUGCUGGAGGUAUCAGAAGUGCGAAUGCUGACAUAAGUAACGAUAAAGCGGGUGAAAAGCCCGCUCGCCGGAAGACCAAGGGUUCCUGUCCAACGUUAAUCGGGGCAGGGUGAGUCGACCCCUAAGGCGAGGCCGAAAGGCGUAGUCGAUGGGAAACAGGUUAAUAUUCCUGUACUUGGUGUUACUGCGAAGGGGGGACGGAGAAGGCUAUGUUGGCCGGGCGACGGUUGUCCCGGUUUAAGCGUGUAGGCUGGUUUUCCAGGCAAAUCCGGAAAAUCAAGGCUGAGGCGUGAUGACGAGGCACUACGGUGCUGAAGCAACAAAUGCCCUGCUUCCAGGAAAAGCCUCUAAGCAUCAGGUAACAUCAAAUCGUACCCCAAACCGACACAGGUGGUCAGGUAGAGAAUACCAAGGCGCUUGAGAGAACUCGGGUGAAGGAACUAGGCAAAAUGGUGCCGUAACUUCGGGAGAAGGCACGCUGAUAUGUAGGUGAAGUCCCUCGCGGAUGGAGCUGAAAUCAGUCGAAGAUACCAGCUGGCUGCAACUGUUUAUUAAAAACACAGCACUGUGCAAACACGAAAGUGGACGUAUACGGUGUGACGCCUGCCCGGUGCCGGAAGGUUAAUUGAUGGGGUCAGCGCAAGCGAAGCUCUUGAUCGAAGCCCCGGUAAACGGCGGCCGUAACUAUAACGGUCCUAAGGUAGCGAAAUUCCUUGUCGGGUAAGUUCCGACCUGCACGAAUGGCGUAAUGAUGGCCAGGCUGUCUCCACCCGAGACUCAGUGAAAUUGAACUCGCUGUGAAGAUGCAGUGUACCCGCGGCAAGACGGAAAGACCCCGUGAACCUUUACUAUAGCUUGACACUGAACAUUGAGCCUUGAUGUGUAGGAUAGGUGGGAGGCUUUGAAGUGUGGACGCCAGUCUGCAUGGAGCCGACCUUGAAAUACCACCCUUUAAUGUUUGAUGUUCUAACGUGGACCCGUGAUCCGGGUUGCGGACAGUGUCUGGUGGGUAGUUUGACUGGGGCGGUCUCCUCCUAAAGAGUAACGGAGGAGCACGAAGGUUGGCUAAUCCUGGUCGGACAUCAGGAGGUUAGUGCAAUGGCAUAAGCCAGCUUGACUGCGAGCGUGACGGCGCGAGCAGGUGCGAAAGCAGGUCAUAGUGAUCCGGUGGUUCUGAAUGGAAGGGCCAUCGCUCAACGGAUAAAAGGUACUCCGGGGAUAACAGGCUGAUACCGCCCAAGAGUUCAUAUCGACGGCGGUGUUUGGCACCUCGAUGUCGGCUCAUCACAUCCUGGGGCUGAAGUAGGUCCCAAGGGUAUGGCUGUUCGCCAUUUAAAGUGGUACGCGAGCUGGGUUUAGAACGUCGUGAGACAGUUCGGUCCCUAUCUGCCGUGGGCGCUGGAGAACUGAGGGGGGCUGCUCCUAGUACGAGAGGACCGGAGUGGACGCAUCACUGGUGUUCGGGUUGUCAUGCCAAUGGCACUGCCCGGUAGCUAAAUGCGGAAGAGAUAAGUGCUGAAAGCAUCUAAGCACGAAACUUGCCCCGAGAUGAGUUCUCCCUGACUCCUUGAGAGUCCUGAAGGAACGUUGAAGACGACGACGUUGAUAGGCCGGGUGUGUAAGCGCAGCGAUGCGUUGAGCUAACCGGUACUAAUGAACCGUGAGGCUUAACCUU
rnacentral:rRNA from 1 species